rnacentral:rRNA from 1 species
UAGCUAGUUGGUGGGGUAAGGGCUUACCAAGGCGACGAUCGGUAGCUGGUCUGAGAGGAUGGCCAGCCACACUGGGACUGAGACACGGCCCAGACUCCUACGGGAGGCAGCAGUGGGGAAUAUUGGACAAUGGGGGCAACCCUGAUCCAGCAAUGCCGCGUGUGUGAAGAAGGCCUGAGGGUUGUAAAGCACUUUCAGUGGGGAGGAGGAUUUAUUGGUUAAGAGCUGAUGGAUUGGACGUUACCCACAGAAGAAGCACCGGCUAACUCCGUGCCAGCAGCCGCGGUAAUACGGAGGGUGCGAGCGUUAAUCGGAAUUACUGGGCGUAAAGGGUGCGUAGGUGGUUUGAUAAGUUAGCUGUGAAAUCCCUGGGCUUAACCUGGGGCGGUCAGCUAAGACUGUUGGACUCGAGUAUGGGAGAGGGUAGUGGAAUUUCCGGUGUAGCGGUGAAAUGCGUAGGGAUCGGAAGGAACACCAGUGGCGAAGGCGGCUACCUGGCCUAAUACUGACACUGAGGCACGAAAGCGUGGGGAGCAGACAGGAUUAGAUACCCUGGUAGUCCACGCUGUAAACGAUGUCAACUAGCUGUUGGUUAUAUGAAAAUAAUUAGUGGCGC